rnacentral:tRNA from 1 species
UCCGGAGUAGCUCAACGGUAGAGCGCCGCCCUGUUAAGGCGAGUGUUGCCGGUUCGAAUCCGGCCUCCGGAGCCA